AGCGAAUUAGACGGAUUGUUAAAAUAUGGUCUCAUUUUGCCAGCACUACUCCUAACAAAUAAAAUUGUGUGCAAAUCACUUACUCUUGUCGUGGCAAGCAAAAUCAACGAGAAGAGAACAGGUAAAAGAAAAAUUCCAAAAUCGAUAAAAUAAUAUUGACGGAAUUAAAUCUAUUUUUCAGUAGACUUCUAUUCUUUUACUCCUUCCGUUUUAUUUUAUGUGAACCUGAUUGACUGGACACAAAUUUUAAGAAAAAAAUAAAGAUUUUUAGAAUUUGUGGUACUAAACAAGUCAAAAAGGGGCCAGAAUAUUUGUAUAAUUAUAAAAACUUUUCAUUAAGAAUAGAAUUAUAAGUUUAGGCUAAAUUGUUUCCAAAUUUAGAAAGAGAUCAUUCUUUUUUGAACGGAUCAAAGAAAAUAGGUUCACAUAAACUGUGACGGAGGGAGCAUGUGUUUUUUCCAUUGACAACAUUGAUUAGAAAUAUGAGUGUAUACAAAUUCAAGCAUAAAAAAGAGAUUAUUUGAAACCUGUUAUGAAAUAAUAAAAGAAGAAAAAGAAGAGUAUUGUAAAAAAAUUAGGGAAAGGAGAAUUCUUAUUGAUAUGGGAAGAAAUACAAUAGAAUGGAACUCUCUAUUUAUAGGGAGAGACUGACUUAGCCACGAAGUAAUCAACCCUAGAAUCUCUCUAAAUAUGGACAUUCACCAUAAAUAGAAUUCUAUUUAUAACACUCCCCCUUGAAUGUCUAUUCAACAGAUAAUGUGCCUCGUUAAAACCUUAACUAAAAUAAAAUCUGGUGGGAAAAAGGCUCUAGAGAAGAAAAAAGAGUACACAUAUCUAACAAUACGUUUUUUUGUUGCCUCAUUAAAAACCUUGCAAGGAAAACCUAGUGGAACAAAACCUUAUAAGGAAAAAAGAGUGCAACGCGCAUUAACUCCCCCUGAUGAGAGCAUUAAUUCACAUCUUUAAGCAUUUGCAUUUCAAUCUUGUGCAUCAUCUUCAAAACGAUCUCUGGUAGAGAUUUGAUAAACAAAUCAUCCGUAUUAACUUGAAUAAAUAUGUUUCACCUUGAAAUCAUCAUACUUGAUAGAAAUGUAAUGUCUUUAUAAAGUGUCGUGGAAUGGCAUUUUCAAUAUCUCCAUAGAGAUUUCCGCUAUCAUAUUAUCAUGCUUAUGUUUAUAACAAGAUACAAAUGUACACAAAUUGCACUGAGAAAGUGGUACUUAAGGAUUAAGAAUUGUAUAUGCUUUAAGCAACUUAAAUCAUUCAUGGAUUGUCAUAUAAGUUAAGUCAUAUAAGCCAUAUAAUAGACUUUACCCGCAUAUCAAGUUUUCAUGUCAUGCUAUACAUAAAAGAUAUCGAAAACUGAUUGCACAUACCAUUGACUUUAUACUUUUAAGUAUUUAAAUAACAUAGACAAAAUUAUAUGUCUUUCACACGAAACUAAUUCUAUCGGAAUUGUGUAUCUUCUAUUUAGACAAUAUUUUGUGUCUAUAUUCGAUAGACUUAAGAUCCUCACCGAUACUUAGCGCUAUGAUAGAUGUCGUUGACGAACAUGUUAUAUCGGUUCCAAUAAAUUUUCAUAAAGACAUAACAUAGAGAUCUCUUCAUUCAUAUAUUCCGGUACCUGAAUCUCUCAUGAGCUUUUAUGAAGUGUUAUGUCAUGUGACCUUC
rnacentral:lncRNA from 1 species